AGUCUUAACUCUGUCACCCAGGCUAGAGUGCAAUGGCGCUAUCUCAGCUUGCUGCAGCCUCCACCUCCUGAGUCAAGCGAUUCUCCUGCCUCAGCCUCCAGAGUAGCUGGGAUUAUAGGCACCUGCCACCACACCCAGUGGAGACGUGGAAACAGGAUGGCACAGAAGACGCGGAAUGAGCCAGUGCGGUUAACAAGAGGAAGCACAUGAAUUGGAAAGUUCAGUGAGCUCUUGUUUAGAUAAUAGGAUCCAUAUAUCACUAGUGAUAUUUUCCUUCAUUCUCUUGUGAUCCAUAGAUUCCUUCUCCCUCUCUUCCUUUCCUCCCUCCCUCUCUCUGUUGGCAUUUUAUUUGUAGAAAAAAGUGUAGAAUUUGUUACACCCUGGAUUUUGCAGAUUGUCUCAUUGUGGUGUCAUUUGACAUUUUUCUACUGCCUUGUAUGUCCUGUAAUUUGUUAAUUAGAUCAAGAGGCUUAGACUCAAGUUCUUUUUUUUUUCCAGGAUUACUUAUAGGUGAUGUUGUAUACAGCCAUGUAGAUGGACAGGGUGUCUGGUUUUCUUAUUUUUUUCAAAAAGAUGUCAGCAGUCAUUGGUGAUCAUUACCUAAGGGUGUUUUUGUUUGUUUUUGAGAUGGAGUCUCGCUCUGUCACUCCAGCUGGAGUGCAGUGGCACAAUCUCAGCUCACUGCAUCCUCCGCCUCCCAAGUUCAAGUGAUUCUCCUGCCUCAGCCUCCCCAGUAGGUGGGACCAACGAUAUUAAUAAUCAUAUUGCAUGUGAAUGUCUUAGUAUGACUUUAUAUGAUUGAUAGUAGCAGGAUGAUACUUUAUGUUUACAUUGAUUUGUUACAACAUACGUU
rnacentral:lncRNA from 10 species